rnacentral:ncRNA from 2 species
CGUACGAAACGGCAAAGCCAUUGAAAAAUGGUGACGCAAAACUAAAGGGGCUAAGGUUUAACGACGAUGCUUGCCAGUUACCGAA